UUUCCGUAGGUGAACCUGCGGAAGGAUCAUUCAUAAUAAGUGUUUUAUGGCACUUUUUUAAAUCCAUAUCGACCUUGUGUGCAAUGUCAGGGUUGAUUUUUCUCUCGAGUUGAUCAGCUCCAAACAUCAACUAUAUCUCAACUCUUUGUCUGAAAAAUAUUAGUAAUAAAACAAUUCAAAAUACAGCUUUCAACAACGGAUCUCUUGGCUCUC
rnacentral:misc_RNA from 1 species